CCAAUCCGGUCCGGCCCCACCCAUUGCUUCAUUGAUCUCCAUUCCUGGUGCGUCCCAGCCCAUGUUAAACCCAUUUUCAUCCCAACCCAGCGCACACACCACCUCACCCCUGGCCCAUCUCCUUUUCCUGAGAGGUCCUUGCCUAAUCUAUCCCAUCAUAUCCACUGCCAUCUGCAUCCCACCCUCAAAUCCAACCCAGUUCCUUUCCCAUCCCAGCUUCAGCCCCAUGCUUAGCACGUGUCUCCCCCCCGCCAACAUUUCUCACGGCACAUCUUCAGUCCAGCCCAUCCCAGUCUCAUUCUGAUCCCAGUUCCCAAUUCCCAACCACAGCCCCCCAUCUCGGCUCCAUGACCACUUAUUCCAGGCCAUUCUCAGCCCCUACCCAGCUCAUUAUCCCUCCAUUCCAGGCCUCUCCUCCCCUCCACGCCUGUGCCCUCUCAGAUGGGGCCAGCUAGGAAAUCCUUUGCAUUCUCUCUCAAGCCUCACGCCUCCCAGAGGAGUCCCAAGUAGAGUUCCGGAAGCAGCAUCUAACCCCAGACUCCCAGGGCAGGGCUCCUCCAAGGACGCUCAGGGCCAGCCUCUUGGAAGCCUCCCACCUCGACCUCCCUGAGCAAACUUCACCUGGUCCCAACCGCACCACGGAGGAGGAGGUGGUUCUAGCCGGGGCUCUGAGUUCUGCAUUGGCUGCCGUUGCCCCUGAAGCCCACACACUCAGCCUUGGUGGGCUGGUGGGUUCCUCCUACCAGGACUUUGUGUCUGCCACCCCCAAACCGAACACCCUUCAAGUCGCUGACAGAUGGGAAAACCGAGGCCCAGAGUCAGUGACUUGCCCGGAGACACACAGCUGCUCUAAACAGGAGUAUGUCAUCCAAGCCAGGAAGGGUCAGACCCAGUGACUAAUUCAGAGACAGACACAUGACCCAAGUUAGUCCAAUGGGCGUCGGCCCUGGGACUUUCGCUGGCGCCAUUAAGAAAGGCUUGCUGAGCACAGUGGCUCACGCCUGUAAUCCCAGCACUUUGGGAGGCCGAGGCGAGUGGAUCAUGAGGUCAAGAGAUCAAGAUCAUCCUGGCCAACAUGGUGAAACCCCAUCUCUACUAAAAACACAAAAAUUAGCCAGGUGUGGUGUCGCAUGCCUGUAGUCCCAGCUACUCAGGAGGCUGAGGCAGGAGAAACGCUUGAAUCUGGGAGGUGGAGGUUGCAGUGAGCUGAGAUCACACCACUGCACUCCAGCCUCGGCCAC